rnacentral:rRNA from 1 species
ACUCCUACGGGAGGCAGCAGUGGGGAAUUUUGCGCAAUGGGGGAAACCCUGACGCAGCAACGCCGCGUGAGUGAUGAAGGCCUUCGGGUCGUAAAGCUCUGACAGAGGGGAAGAAAUGCAGUGGUGCUAAUAUCGCCGCUGCUUGACGGUACCCUCAAAGGAAGCACCGGCUAACUCCGUGCCAGCAGCCGCGGUAAUACGGAGGGUGCAAGCGUUGUUCGGAAUUAUUGGGCGUAAAGCGCGUGUAGGCGGUUUGUUAAGUCUGAUGUGAAAGCCCCGGGCUCAACCUGGGAAGUGCAUUGGAAACUGGCAGACUUGAAUACGGGAGAGGGUAGUGGAAUUCCUAGUGUAGGAGUGAAAUCCGUAGAUAUUAGGAGGAACACCGGUGGCGAAGGCGGCUACCUGGACCGAUAUUGACGCUGAGACGCGAAAGCGUGGGGAGCAAACAGGAUUAGAUACCCUGGUAGUCCACGCCGUAAACGAUGAGAACUAGGUGUCGCGGGUA